UCCAAAAGGGGCACAUCAAUCUGGUUCACACGUUUUCACCAGCACAGUAAAAGUUGGCUCCCGCUUCUACCCCAGCCGUUGGAUGCGGUACAUUUUUCCUCACUUGUUCAUCCUCCAAGCAAGUCCAUGACGCAUGGGACCGAAUACAUGCGGGAUCCACCGAGCAGAGGGAGCGAUGCUGCUCGUCCGCGUCGCGUGGUUUGGCUGUUUUCUCGUGGGAGUGGGUAGACAAACCCUAGCUGACCAAUCCCCAUAUUCCCAUCUGCCCAAUCCUCAUCCCCACUUCCCUCCGCCGCCUCUCCUUGGCCGACCUCCACCUUCCGCCUGGACGCGGCCGCAGCAGCGGCAGAAAACACGCGCCCGAGCGAACGCGGUUGGACGCGGCAGCGUCGGCUGCAUGCGGCGAUGGAGGCUCGCCGGAUGCGUGGCGCUGGUCGGACGCGGCGACGGCUGGCUGCGGUGGAGGCUCGCCGGACGGCCAGACGCGCGGCGCUGGCCGGACGCGGCGACGGCUGGAUGCGGCGGCUGUACCGGCAGCGGCGAGGGCGCAUCCCCGGCUCCGAUUCGCGAGCGGAGAGAGCACACGAGCGGCGGCGGCGGCUGGAUGCUCGUCUCUCUCCCAAGCACCUACGACCUCGCAGCGAGCGGACCGAGCCGGUCGGGACAACCAGCAGCGACGGCACAUCGCGAGCCCCACGACGGCGCCCUGCAGGCUGAUGUGGGUACCAUGGACGCCUUCACCGUUGUGCUGCUCGGGAGAAGCCUCUGCAACCCCGUCGACGGUAGCGGCCGCCGAAAUUGAAGGGGGCGGCGGCGGCCAGAAAUGAACGUGGUGGCGGUGAGCAGAGUGGGAACGGGGCGGCGGCGCCUCCUCUCGGUGGCCCUGGGCGCUCAGGAGGAGCCCUCGAUCUGAGCUGUAGGGAACGGUGGUGGAGUGGGUGUGAGUCAAGGAUGGCCAGGAUCCGGGGCAGGGCCGGCCAAAUCGUGUCGGGCGACGGAUUUUGACAAUACAGGGACAGCAACGGCAAGCAUGGCUGGUUUUAAGACGCCAAGGUGGGCUUAAGUGUGUUUGUGCCGGCUGAGUAGAUCGAGUUGUAUAAUGCACAUACCACAACUAUCGUUGUUGUGGUGACUUAGACAGGUUCCUGAAGGUCGGGUAGACUUGCAGCCUGAAGGUGUGGAGGUACCUCACAGCCUUGUUGACAAGGGCAUGCAAAGGCAUGAUCAAGAUUAUGGCAGACGAUAAAGUUAUUUGGCUGAAUCCUCUUAUAUGAAGCAAGUGCAAUGUCCGACAUUACCGGGACUUCACCUGCCGGUGAGGCAAAAUCGUAUACGACUCCAAAAUGGAUUGAGCGCAUGCAGCAGAUGACAAGUGUGAUUUUAUUGUACUUUGCCUUCUGCACUUAUGAACUGAAGUUUCUGUUUCUACAAACAAUUAUUCGGCAUGUUUUGUUUCGAUUCUAGAUGAUCAUAUCAUAAUCCAACCUAGAUGUCCUUUUAUUGAUUCGCUAUAUGUAAACUGGGUAUUAUACAGGAGCAAUUUUGUUACUCUGAAUCACUCUGAAUAUUUUGAUCUGCUGGUAUUAUUAUAUAGGACCUGAUUGGGUAUUGCUCUGUGUAGGGAUGCAUCAUGAGAAGGUGGAGCUGGCGUCGUCGUAGGCAUAGUUGUACGCUGCCUCCCAGGUUGAGCAUGGCUGCUCACUGGCAACCAGGAUUCGAUGGCGGUGAAGAUCUAGGUAUGAUGCAGCCUGGAGACAAGACUUUGCAAGCUUCUGUACAUGCCAAUAGAGUAUGUCAGAUCUACUUCUCUAAUGUCUAGGAUCCACUAGCUUUUCAGGGUUCAUGCUACUUGCUGCAGAUGGUGUUCCCACGAUUGUCUGGCAUGGUGGAUCCAAUCCAAUCAUCAGUCUGUUUUAUGCAACAUUGUUACCUGCAGAACGGCACAGCCCUCAAAUUAGGAUUGCUUGCAUAGCAGGAGCAAGCAACGGGGCGCGCCGCCGCUGCCAAGGAGGCGCUGGAGGAGGUGCCGGAGAGGGAGGCUCGGGGCCUUGCGAUGCGUCGCCAGCGCGGCCCGAAGGAGGUGGCCGAGCAGAAGGCUGCGAGCGACGGCGAGGCCGCCACGGUGGAGCACGAGGCGUCCGGCUCCGUGCACGUACCAUGUCUGUCCCGGCCUCUAUUGUUCCCUGUGCUUGACCGUUGAAGUGCUCCUAGAUCGGAUUCACUCGAUUGGAACGGUGAUGCCAGCCAGUGAACUACGGGUUGUCUGCCGCGCCCGCUGGCCGCAGGCGACGACCAGCAUUGAUGCGGGAAUACUGUGGGGAAGAAGAUGCAUCAUCUAGGAGGAAGAUCAGCAUAUAAAUGCUGAGCUGAAGUUCAGACACCACGCUGACUAUAUUCCCAGGCGCCCACGUCCACGGACAUGGAAGGGGCUGCAGACGGUGUGCUCGAGCCCAGAUUUUCACUGUCAGUAACAAUGGUUUGUGCGAUGCUUAGGAGUAGCUUUACAGCUCUCUCUAAAAAUGAGUAGCAUUGCUGAGACAGAUGUGAGCAUGGGUGAAGGCAAGGCUGGUGGAUGACGGCGGUGGCAGUGGGUGGAUGCCGGUGGCUUCAGCUGAUGGACGACGGUGGCCUCCGCCGCCAAGCGACCUGUAGCAGGUUUAUUGGUUUUGGUUCAAUGGAAGAGCUCCCAGCUUAUGAAGAUGGAUCCAUAGAAGGAGAAAUUGUGCCAUUACAAUGAUGGAAAUGCCAUAAUACAUGUGUUGAUCUUGAAUCACAUUAUCAGUAAAUUUCUGUGAAAUCAUCUGAGAGCUUCAACCCAUUCAUAGGGGCUUCAACCUGAUCCGAUCAUCUGGUCGUUUUAUGCAGUGUUGUUGGCUGCUGAUAUUUCAAUAGCAAUUCCACCAGCUAUGUUCUGUAAUGUACAUAGGAAUUCUGUAUAAUGUAAUUUCACCAGCUAUGUGUUAUGUGAUACACUUAUGACAGUAUUAGAUGAACCAGACCUAUAUAUGUUAGAAUGUAUGUUAUGCAUAGCUAAACCGGGAAGCUAUCAUGAGGCUCAUGGUUUAAAGCCAAUAAAUCUCAAUCAUAUAUGAUUAUAGUACAAUCCUGGAUAAAACUUAUGGUUACAAUAUUAUCUUGCUUUUGCCUUUGCGCCGGGGCGCAACGGGAAGUUAUCAAAGUAGUUCAGGUGUUUAUUUUGGGAUCCUUGUUAGCCGAUGACAUUUAAGGAAGGAAAUCAUUCUUGUACUGCAUACUUGUGAUGUGUAAUAUCAUCCAUGUCUUAGAUGUGUUUAUCAAUGAUAUGCCUUGUCGGGAGAGAGGAAAAGCAGCAGCGGGGUGGCUUUUGCCCCUGUACAUGGGACCUACUACCUUUCCAGAAAAUGGAGGAAAUAGAUGAAAAUGGCUUCUCUCACAUGGCAUCUUGCACGAAUCUCCAACGAUCCAACAGCAAAGAGUACACCCACACUCAUGUUUGGGUGUACAAAUGUAUUUCCGUUUGAAGAAUCUGCACUAUGCUUGUUAUGCUUUUAGUCAUACUUAACAUUUUGUCCUAGCUGGGCCCUCACUUUUCCCCUUAACCCCAGCCUCCCUCUUUUUGGCAUAAAGUCAUAGAUAUUAUCAUAACUUUGAUGCAAUAUGUACUGUAGAUUUAAUCCAGCUGACAUAGGGUUCUUACUCUUCCAUUUUAGGUUCAUUGAAUAACCUGCCGACACAUGGUUGUUACUCUUCUAUGUUAGGUUCAGUGAACAAUUUGUGUGUGAUCAUGAAUUAACCCUUCGGAAUUUUAAGAUGCAGCAUAAUUUAUAAAGGGCAAGAUGUCCUGGCAGAAUUAUUAACUUUCA